UGCUGCCAUCAAAUGGCCGCAUCUCCCCUAUAAAUACCUGCUCAGAAGGCCAGGCCAGCCUUUAGAAAAUGGCUGCUCUCAAAGCAACAGGUUUCUUUUUGGUAAAAGCCCAGAAAUACAUGGAUAGAAAGAGAAGACUGAAAUGAAGAGUGAAGGGUCUGAGAUCCUCUGUUCAAUGAAACAGAUGCCGUGCCCAGUGAAUACCCAUAAAGGAGCCUGAAAAGAACAAGACAAGGGGCGGCACAGUUAUGAGGAGACUGCUUGCUGGAUGAGAUUCUACUGGGCUGCCUUCCCAUCACAAUGAAGGAUUUUCUGUCUAAAUUGUGUUUCUGGAAAUUGUAAUGUUGUAUGAACUGUAUUUUUUUGAAAUUUUAUGGAUUAAACCUUAGUUUUUACAGUU